UACGGGGGGAGCAAGCGUUGUUCGGAUUUACUGGGCGUAAAGGGUUCGUAGGUGGCUUGCUAAGUCAGACGUGAAAUCCCUCAGCUUAACUGGGGAACUGCGUCUGAGACUGGCAAGCUCGAGUGCAGGAGAGGAACGCGGAAUUCCAGGUGUAGCGGUGAAAUGCGUAGAUAUCUGGAGGAACACCGGUGGCGAAGGCGGCGUUCUGGACUGCAACUGACACUGAUGAACGAAAGCCAGGGGAGCAAACGGG
rnacentral:rRNA from 1 species